CUAAGAAGAAGGAGCCUUCAGGGAAAAAUUGCCUGGGGAUUGCCUGAUAUGCUGCAUGCUGGGCUAAUGGGGCUCCAGGAACUCAACAGUUAGGUGCAGCUGUGUUAUUCCUCAGUCAGCUGCAGCAAAUCUAAAAGGCAGGAUUACCUCUUCAUCUCAGCCCACAGUUCAUUUAUUGAUCUCAAGACCUGAAGAAGCCACUGUGAUCAUCUACUUUAUACUCCUACAAAAUACAGAUUGGACAACCUCACCCAGUCAUUUCUCCAUAAGGCCUAUAAUUGGUGUGGCCAAAACUGCAGCAUUUUGUAAGGCACAAGCCUCUGAAAUGGCAACUGACUGGAAGAAAACUGAAAAUGUCUCAUUCAUUAUUGUUGGCUAAGUUGAGAUAAAUGCUGGAAGCUAAACAAACAGCAGAAAGAGAGGCAAGUGGACCAGGUUUUAAAAAUUACUUCUUUAUUAAUAACCAUACAUUUAAUGUGUGACAUCACGAAGGACAUGUGGUUCUGAAAAACAGCAUGUGGGUUUUUUAGCCGAAAAUCUCUAAUAGAACAGAAAUUGAAGCUGAUUAGUAAGUACUGAUGCAAUUUAAUGUUGAGCUUGACUGAGUCCCCCAACUCUGUGCUUCAUUCUGAUUAACUGGCAGGAAAUCUCCCCCAUUUUCUCAGCUGGCUUGUGGAGUAGGGUCUCCAUCUGCCUCAGCCUCCUUUUUCAGUUCAUGGCCAAUUCGCAGGCCUGACACUGCUUUCCAGGUCUUACCAGCUGUAACCUUGCAAAUGCUAAAUCUAAGGGAUUCUCUCUACCAGCAUGGAUUCAGUGCAGCUCCAGCCUUCAGUUCUGUCACCGAUGAAACACUAGGGACCCACAAAUAAAUGAAGCAACACAGGGUUGGCAUAUAUGUAUAGGUUGCUUUACUGGCUGUACCGAUGACAUUUGGAGUGCACAGUUUCUGCAGCUGUUUAGUAGGUAGCUAGCUAUAAUAAGAUAGGGGGGUAGUUGUGGUUGUCUACUUCACAUACUGCACAUCUAAGUGGAAUAAGAUUCACAGACCUAUUUGGAGAGUGAGAGAAGGGUUUGUGGUCUGGUUCCUUAACACAAGGCUGUGAUAGAGACUAUUGCAGUUUUUCACUUUUGUGUUGCCUAACAUCGGCAUCAAGUAAGCUUGCCUAUGAUACAUCUUACUGUCUAUUGUGAUAUUUAUUGGAAUUUCAUUGUAAUAAAAAUUAUUGUAGCCUACGAGGGAAUCAGGCUCAAUAUGUGUCUACAUUUUGUGUGUGCAUAGCUCUCUC